rnacentral:rRNA from 1 species
AGUGAACGCUGGCGGUAGGCCUAACACAUGCAAGUCGAACGGCAGCACAGUAAGAGCUUGCUCUUACGGGUGGCGAGUGGCGGACGGGUGAGGAAUACAUCGGAAUCUACUUUUUCGUGGGGGAUAACGUAGGGAAACUUACGCUAAUACCGCAUACGACCUACGGGUGAAAGCAGGGGAUCUUCGGACCUUGCGCGAUUGAAUGAGCCGAUGUCGGAUUAGCUAGUUGGCGGGGUAAAGGCCCACCAAGGCGACGAUCCGUAGCUGGUCUGAGAGGAUGAUCAGCCACACGGGAAAUGAGAAACGGUCCAGAAUCCUAAGGGAGGCAGGAGUGGGGAAGUUUGGACAAGGGGCGAAAGCCUGACCCAGCCAAACCGCGGGGGUGAAGAAGGCCUUCGGGUUGUAAAGCCCUUUUGUUGGGAAAGAAAAGCAGCAGGUUAAUCCCCCGCUGUUCGGACGGUACCCAAAGAAUAAGCACCGGCUAACUUCGU